rnacentral:lncRNA from 1 species
GCACGGAAAUCAGUUGGAAAUCGCCUACUCAAAGUCACAUCAGAACAGAGCAGAGAAGGACUUUAAAUCAUUUCUUUGGCCCUCUUAUUACCAUUUCACAGCAGAGAAACCAAGGCUGAUUGAGGUGACCAGUAUCUCUUUGGCUUCUUCGCCCCUGGCAGUGACCUACUGAGCCCACAGAUGGGCUAAGAGCAUGUGGGCAGCAAGAAAAACAGGAACCAACCGGUCAAGAACACCUGCAACAAGACAUCUGCUGUGGAAUGCAACAGUAGCAGCAAGAAGGAGGAGAAGGAGGAGGAGGAGGAGAAGGAAGAGGAGGAGGAGGAGGAGGAGGAAGAGGAGGACGACGACGACUGUUAGUGGACUCUCCAAAACCAUCGAUCUGAGGAGCACAGACAAUCUGUGUCUCCAUGUAGCUCCUUCUCACCAGAACCACCUUGCUCCGCCUGUUUGAGUAGCGGCUGUUUUGUACGGUAAUUUGGGAGACACCAAACAGCAGUGAGAUUUCCUAUGAGAACUGUCCGCCGGAGAUGCAGCCCUGCACUGGAGCAUUUGCCCAGCGUGAGCCAGGCCUUGGGUUCAACACCUUCCCACCUCCCCCAAAGAAUGUACUGGACAACACACUUCAGACAACUUUUAACUUAGUCUCAGCCUAAUGGUUGCCUAGAACCACACACUUCUCUAUGGUUAAAAAACCUGGUUACACAUUUUAAUUUAAACCUCCAAUGAGUGGAUACAAUGCAUUUAUUGGCCAUUUCUUUUUUUUUUUUUUUGGUUCUUUUUUUCGGAGCUGGGGACCGAACCCAGGGCCUUGCGCUUCCUAGGUAAGCGCUCUACCACUGAGCUAAAUCCCCAGCCCCCAUUUCUUUCUUUUUAAGUACAUUUUUCUUUAGUUGUAUGGGUCUUUUGUCUGCAUGUAUGUCUCUGAACUAUGUGCAUGCCUGGUAUUUAGAGGUUAGAAGAAGGAGUCAGAGCCCCAGGAACUGGAGUCAGGCGGAGUUGUGAGCUGCUAUGUGGGUGCUAAGAAUUGAACACGGGUCUUCUAGAAGAACAGCAAGAGAUCUUAGCCUACCAGCCAUCUCUCCAGUCCCUUCUGGCUUUUUUUAGUUGCAGGAGCCAUACCCCAAACAAUCUGCUGGAUAAGCAAUGGAUUUUCAAAACUUUAUGCAUUCACAGCAAAGCUGUGUUUACAAGGGAACUUUUUAAAUUUCUGAAUGGGUGAAUCUAACUUCUUGAUGCUCUCAGACUGCAGUGGAGAAAGACUAAUAGCCAUCUGACAUACGUCUCUUUCUUCAGGGGAAGAAUCGCAGCAGGGGUACGUGUUGACUUGGGUUCUGUUAUGUGCAGUGUUCCUAGGUGUGCAUCACGGGCGUGUCUGUUAGAGCUCACCCUGUUGUAGUCUGCACUCCUUAGGCCUAACGCCGACACAGAGCUGUGCUACGUUACAACUACUGCGUAUGAAGAUCAGCCUCGCCCGUCUGAGAUGGAUCCCAUCAGGCAUUUCAAGAAAUCAAGGCCGUGAUACAGAAAGACUUGUUCCCACUGGCAACUAUUCACGUACUUCCACUUGCCGAGUUAGCAGGCCUUGCGCCUCUCGCUGCCGCCAGGGGUACCCUCCGUCGGCUGUUUCCUUUACAUUUGUCCUGACAUAAGGAUGCACAGGGCGUUAGGCAGCAUUUCUUUUACCAUUUCACUUCAGACGGUCCUUCCUUCUGCACUAACUGGAAGCUACGGGGAAACCGUGGCCUCACAGUCUAACAGCAGGACUGUACUCUGUGCAUGAAAAGUAACAGAAGUGACCGAGCACAGGACAAUGCGAUCACGGCGAGCCCAGGCUGACUGGGUGUGGGAGGAACUGGAAGUGCAGCACUGGAAAGGCAGGCUGCCUCAUCUGAACCCACCAUGGGCUGGAGAGAGGGGUCAGAGGUUGGAGUGUGUAGUGCUGUCAGGGAACCAAAGUUUGGGUCCCACCACCCAUGUCAGGUGGCUCCCAACUGCCUGUGACUCCUGCUCCAGGAGAUCCAGUGCCUCUGGCCAUCUUGGGCAACGAUUCUCACAUGAUUCUCACAUGCACAUACCCACACACAAAUGUACAUAUACACACAAUUAAGAAUAAAAUCAUAAAUCUUAAAAAAUAAAAGAACACUCUCAGGACUGAGCGGAUGAUGUUAUUUUCAGAAAAUGAAUUUUCAGAUAUUCAAAUGAUGCAACCAAUUGAAGGAAAAACCAUCAGUUCACAGGGCUCUUCCUUAAAUUCAGAUGGACAGAGAGGAAUCCUGCCAGUCAGGUAAGCAUGGAAUCCAGGGCUGAUGUGUCACAGGCUCACUUCUUCACGCCGAGGUCAGUGGCUGAUGUAGAUCACACCCAUGAGGCCAUCCACAGGAUAGUUGCCCACUGAGGAGGUUGGUAACUCUGCACCGGAUCCAGCCACCUGGGCUCAGCCCCCGCUGUUCUGGAUGUGGGUUCUGAGAGCGUCCUCAGCACUUAACUAACCCUUUGUUGGUUGAAGGAGCUGGGACUGUUUCUCCACACAUGAACUGAUCCUAA